GGAUUGCAGGCUGCAACUCGCCUGUAUGAAGUCGGAAUUGCUAGUAAUCGUGGAUCAGCAUGCCACGGUGAAUACGUUCCCGGGCCUUGUACACACCGCCCGUCACACCAUGAGAGCCGGGAACACCCGAAGUCCGUAGUCUAACCUAUAUGGAGGACGCGGCCGAAGGUGGGUUUGGUAAUUGGGGUGAAGUCGUAACAAGGUACC
rnacentral:rRNA from 1 species